CCCUGGAAAUGUGAAAAGGGUUUUGAGCAGUUCCAUUUUUUGUACAGUACGUCACUACUUGGUAUGAUCUAAUGCACUGAGAUACGUUUACUCAUUUUCUUUUUUUCUGCUGCAGAACAAGAAAACAUUUUGAAGAAUGGUUUCAAUUGCUUUUGUCCUGACAGUGAAAGUCAAUGGGGUCAAAAGCAACAUUGGACCUCUUUGAUGUAAAUUGUAUAGAAAAAACAGAGACAUUUUUAAACAUCUCAGUUUGUGUUCCACAGAAAUCAUAAGAGUAAGUAAAGGAUGACAAUUUUCAUUUUUGAGUGAACUCUUUCUUCAUGUUUCCAAAGAGAAGGUCAGAGGUAAAGAAAGUCUAACUAUCAGUUUGUGAACGUGAUUUCCUCCGUGUCACAUUUAAUGCAUAUUAAUCUGUCUUUCCAUCCAAGGAUCCAUGACAAUCGAAGCGAUGAGCUCUGCACCUCUUCGUUCUCACUUCGCUGCGACGCUUCACCAAAAAUCUCAGCGCCGCCGCCGCCGCCACGUCCUCCUACUCCAGAAGAGAGAAGUGAAAGAUUACUGCGUGUGGCUCAUUAGGAAUGUUUUAUUUUGUCUGCAAUUUUUUCCCCCCAUCUAUUGUCUCUCCACCCUCUCAGCGAAAGUCUCGGCGGAGUCACAGCCCUGGGUGCAUCGCAGCGACGAGAUAAAUGCAGAAAAUGAACUGGAAGAAAACAGGGAGGCGAGAAAAGCGUGCGGCUGGCCGACGAUGGCCGAAAACUCAAAGGAGAGAUGGUUACACUGCAUCGCCAGCUUGCCUCAUCUGAAUCCCUGACUCCUGACCUCCCCUGAGGAAGGUGCUCACUGUCAGAAGAACCCCCGGCAUCCUACCGCCACAGAAAGGUGAUUCCUUUAAAGCGCCAGAAACGGAUGAAGGAGCGAGAGGGGGCUGCGCGAGGCGGGCAGACGGGGAGGGGAGCUGUCGCUUGUGUCAGGUUAACCUCAGAGACACAUCCGGAGCUCAGCAUCUGGGAGACGGAGGGGAGAGAGAGGCACCGCCGCUCCAUUUGGCGCAAUUUCACCACGGCAGCAACAGAUAGCAACAAAAGUCCCGUUGAGGUCUUUAAGAAAAUACCCUGGUGUGUGUGUAAAGGCGAGAGGCCCAAUAUUCAGCAGCAGAUGAGACGUGUGCAUGUGUCUGUGAGAAAGAGGCAGAUGAAGAGAAGAAGAUAAGAGACAAAGAUGACAGCACUCAAAGGCUAAAGGCAGCGCUUUCUCUCAUCUCCUGACCACCGACUGACCCCAAGACUGAGAGCCGAGAGCCGACGGAGUGACCCGGCUCCCCGUGACCCUGCCAAGCUGAGCGUGAGGCUCCCCAGCCGAGCCCACCGGAGCUCCAGCCUCACUGAUCUCCAGCCCUGUAAUUGGGUCAAAGCUCUGCAUUGCCUUAUUGAUGUGCAAAUGCUAACUGUCGAGGCAUGUCACUCUCAGCCAUAUUAGAGAACACCUCGAGGAUGACUGCAGGAGAUCAAGGACGCCAAUGCACCAUUUCAUAUCAAACCCCAAACAUGAGAGGGGUGCCGUUCAUUAAAAUUUAGGCCAUCAAGAAAUAUCCAAUUCAAAAGAAAUGUCUAAUUUGAAGCGGUCCUUGACAGGACACGAUCAUAUCUUAACGCAUUUAACAACCGGUUUCGACAUGAGUAAUGGCACCCUGAAAAAGGAUGUUCUCGCAAAUUAUGAUAAGAAUUAAAAUGAUGGGAAGUAAGAACAUGUCAGUUAACCAGGAGGAAGCACAGCCAGUCAGAAAGUCAAAAGAUGUAAUUUGUCAUAAGAGUUCCUAAUACAUCAAUAUACAUCAUGAAAUUAUGGAGGACAUGCAAUAUAUAAACACAUCAAUGGUUAUUUCUUUGAAGAGGAAAAGGAAACAGUAUAAAAUGAAUGAGAAAAUAAUCAAAACUACAAAAAUAACACUAAAUCGCGAAAUAUGAGAUCAAAUAAAGUAGAAAUUGCUGAUAUGCUACUUUCAGAUGUCCACAACUGAUCUGAUGCCACUAGUAUAAAACGAUGGACUGAUUACAAAAUCUAAAAUAUUCUUCUUCAAUAUAAUUUUUUAAAUAUUUAUAAAUUACAACAAUAUUUUAACAAUAUGUCAUGGCUUAAUAAGCCUUUGAUUUUAGUCAAAUAAAACAAAACAUAAAUUCAGAAGGCCAUCACGGUACAUCUGUGUACGAUUGAAAAAAAACUGCAGCGGAUAAUCACGAGACCUUCAUUGGAAUUUUUUGCAGUGGAUUUAAUGUGGCUUUAUGGGAAGCAUUAAGUUCAUUACAUUUCUUUUAUUGCCUUGACGUAUCUAGUAGACUGUUAAUGUGUUCCUCUCGGUUGAUCGUACAUGUGCGAGCAGCGUGCCGAGGAUCAAAACAUCAGAUCGCUGGGAUUGUCGUGCUGUGAAAGAAUUUAAAAGUACUGGUGUCCCAGUCUUAUAAUUGGGUAUCGAUGGCCAACGAUUCUCUCAAUUUCAUCGUUUUUCCACUUGGACAAUCUGGUGGAACUCUAAGACAACCUAAUUAUAACCCCUGCUGAGGAGGCCGGCCCUGAGCAAGGUUUCAUAACUGUCUCAACUUUCUCAUCCUCUGCAAACUUUUACAAGGACAUGACACUGAUACUAAUCAUGCCAAGCCAGACAGACAAUGUUGAAGUGAAGAGUUAAUCACGGUAUAAGCAUUACCACAAAUUAUUUAAAGCUAUUUUUUUCUCCAAAUGUGUGGAUUGAGGCUUUCAGGUUUUCUGCACAAAGGCUGUUUGUUGUGGUUUAAAACAGUAGCUUUCCGUUCUAUAAGAUACACUUUUGAAAAAAGCUGCUAAACUACUACAAAAACCUAAAAUGCCAUGUUGUUUUAUUUUUCAAACAACUUGAUUUGCUUUUGAAUUUUCAAUGCUACAUAAUAACAGUUGCCUUUCCUUGCUUGGCUGUAAUGUGCAAACAGCGUGUUUUGAAAUGCGUACUUGUUGGAAAAAAUAGCUUGUUACUGGCUACACUAUUUUGAAAGCAAAUGCACAACGGUUACAGUACUAAAAAUCUAGUUUAGUUAGGAGAAUUUCUACUUAUGCUGUGCAAUCACCAUAUCCAUUCACUGUAAAGCUCAGCCUGAGUACAGUCUUUUUGCAAAUUCAAAAAUUGCCACCAGAAGAAGCCUUACGUCAUCCUACAUCAUACAUACAUUUAUACUGUUUUAUUUAUGGUCAGUUUUUGACUGUGCUUUUAUUUGCCUGUUAUGUGUUUUAUAUUGUUCAGAAGUGGGUAGGUUUAGGGUAGGGGUGGGGUUAGGUGCUGCAAUUAAAGUAUACAUUGCUAUAAAAUAAUUUCUAUUUUUUUUACAAAUGCAUGCAAACCAUUAAACUAAAGGAGUAGUUUACUUCCAAAAAAAAAAAAAGAUUACAGAUAAUGUACUGUCAUCGGAUGCCUUUCUUUCUUCAGUCGUAAAAAAAAAAAUGUUUUUUUGAGGGAAACAUUUCAGGAAUUAUCUCUGUAUAGUGGACUUUAAUGGUGCCCGCAAGUUUGAACGUCCAAAAUGUAGUUUAAAUGCACGUGAGAGCAUUGAUACUGCAAUUUGGAUCUUUAACCCGCUGGUGCCCAUUAAAGUCUACUAUAUGGAAAAAAACCUGGAAUGUUUUCUUAAAAACCUUAAUUUCCUUUUGAUUGAAGAAAAAAAGACAUGAACAUAUUGGAUGACAUGGGGGUAAGUAAAUUAUGGAAUGAACUAAUAUUUUAAGUUGAAGUACUAAAAACUAUAAUAAAAAUUAAACAAAGAUACAAAAAUAUAUUUAGAAAAAACAAAAAUGACAUACAGAUAAAAUUACUAACUAAAAUUAGAACAGAAAACAAAAAUAAAAGCUAAUUAAAAAUAUGAAAAAAUACAAUAGUAUUAUAUAAACAAAUAUAUACUGCAGUAUACUGCAUUAUUAAUAAUUGAGCACCAAUAAAAACUGAGAACCAAAUCAGCAUAUUAAAAUGAUAUCCGAAGGAUCAUGUAACACUGAAGACUGAAGUAAUGCUGCUGAAAAUUCAGCUUUGAUCAUUUAUUUAUUAUAUUUAUAAAGAAUAUAUUCAUACAGAAAACCGUUAUUUUGAAUUGUAAUACUAUUUCAUAAUAUUACCGUUUGUACUGUAUUUUUGAGCACAUAACUGCAGCCUUGAUGAGUCAUUAAAGACGUUUAAAAAUCAUGUUUCCAAACUUUUGAAAGGUAUAUAUAUACUGAAAUAACACUGCAAGCUGGUAGAUGUCAUAAUUAAACACUCUGCAAUAGAAAAUGAUUACCAUUCUGAUGAGAUUAAGUAGAAGCAACAUAUGUUUGCUAUUAUUUCAGCAUAGAAGUGACAGUUAUCAGUGCGUAACUAUUUUUGAGCAAUUAUUUGACGCAUCUCAAGAUAGUUGCUAGUGAAAGGCUAGAACAGCGCUUUCCUGUGGUCAUUCUACUUUGUUAAUAUCCUCCUGAUAGAAUCAAGAAAUACCUCAUGCACAUUCUCUAACCUCAACUUACACUCCUAAUCUGAAUAGUGAUCAGUGACCCUGGAGCUGCCGGCGUCAGCCCUGCCCAGUGCGAAGAAGGAUAUUUCAGACCAGAGAACAGGUGGACACCAGCCAGGGGAGACGAUUCAGCCGGCUUGCCCACAAACAGGGGUCAGGGUGGGCCACACGUCACAUAAAUCAAUCUGACGUGUUCACCCAGGCCUGCACUGGCACAGGCCAACCCGCGGCCCGAGCCCCAUGCCCACUGAGCUACUGGCUGCGGCGCUAUUUUGAUGCAUGGUUCAGGGGUGCAUUUGGAACGGGUCAGCUGACUUUGAUCCAGGGCCUGGCUGGAGAGACUUCAGGUGCCUUCUGGUUCCACAGAUAUCACGCCAGUGGUAUGAGCUCCACUGCAGGGAAAUCGGGCGCUCUGAAAGAGAUCCUGGUGGGCAGCAGAAUGAAUGUGCAAUGGCAUGUACAGUUCAAGACGUCAGUCACUGCAGAUUUCUCAGCUCAUGUGAAGCUGGAUCACAAAUGAUUUGCGCAAACAUAGACGGAUAUAUGUAGAUCGGGAGGCACAUUCCCUUCACAAACAAAGUGUACCACUGCAUCUUCAGCGGCUCAGAUGUCGGGAGUAAAUGAUGACCACUAUGUUCAUUAUUACAUCCAGCAACACAACACCUCAAUCGCUCAGUCUGAGAUAUUCUUGUCCAACUUACAUCCCUGCUCCGGCAUUGACACAAUGGAGGUCGGACUGUUACAGCUGAUUUCAGGUGGGUCUGAGGUAAGACCCUCAUGUCAGUCAACUAUCGUGAGAGCGGCCUCUGUCUGUGUGACGCCACACCAACAGGCAUCUGAGAAUGGCUCGAUUUGAAAAAGGGGAUAUUAUUUUUACAGAUUAAUUAAAAACCACUGCAUGGCUUUUUAUCAUUAUAGGGUAGAUUUGUACAUACACUGCCAACACACAUUAAUGUUCAAACAACAUGUAAAAGUGAACUUCGCAUCCGAUGACCCCUUUAAGUUUAAUUAUAGUAAUUUUGUUUUUGUCAUAUUAGUUUUUUUGUGGUCUUUUGUGGUAAUCUUUAUUCAUAUUUAUUUCAGUUCUAGUUAUUUUAGAACAACAGAAGUUAAGCUCAGUUAAAAUGAGAAAUAUGAGGUCAAAAGUUUACAUACACUUUGCAGAAUCUGCAAAACAUUAUUUUACCAAAAUAAGAGAGAUCAUACAAAAUGCAUGUUAUUUAUGUUAUGCUCAUUUAGUACUGACUGGAAUAAGAUAUUUCACAUAAAAGAUGUUUAUAUAUAAUCCACAAGAGAAAAUAAUAGGUAAAUAAAAAAAAAUGUCCCCAUGUCCCCAGUUUACAUACACUUGAUUCUUAAUACUGUUGUUACCUGAAGCUGUUUUGUUUUUUGUUUUUUUUGUUCUUGAGUUAAAUUGCUCGCUGUUCUUCAGAAAAAAACCUUCAGAUCCCACAAGUUCUUUUGUUUUUCUGCAUUUUUGUGUAUUUGAACCAUUUCCAACAAUGACUAUGAUUUUGAGAUCCAUCUUUUCACACUGAGGACAACUGAGGGACUCAUAUGCAACUAUUACUGAAGGUUCAAACACUCACCGAUGCUCCAGAAGGAAAAACAAUGCAUUAAGAGCCAGGGGUGUAAACUUCUGAACAGAAUGAAGAUCUGUACAUUUAUCUUAUAUUGCCUAAAUAUUGUAUUUUUUAUUUUUUUUUUUAACUUACAUGUUUCCCAGAGGACAAAAAAAAGUUAGAUUUUCCUUGGUCCUCAAUUUCAAAAAGUGUUUACCCCCCAGCUCUUAAUGCAUUGUUUCCUUCUGGAGCAUCAGUGAGCGUUUGAAUGUUCUGAAUAACUCAUUCAGAUCAGUAUUAAAUAAAAAAUUAUCCCUCUUAUUUUGAUCAAAUAAUUAGCAUUUUACAGCAGAUUCUGCUAGGUGUAUGUGAAUUUUGACUUUACCUGUAUAUGCAGCGUGAAAAUGUUUAACAGCUUAAAAAUAAAGCACUUAUCUUGAGAUAUAUAAAAAAAGUGUAUGACUAGCUCUGGUCUCCCCUAUUGUAUUUUCCAAUGAUUUAUGAUUAGCCAUGACAUCUAAAAUAGGGCUUAAAUGUUUUCUAGAUGUUCCUUAUUUGGUCCAGCAUGUUUAAAUUAUGUGUUUUUCUGAGUUGUAAAUGUGAUUCAAACCAUCUCAGACAGUCACACAAUCUGUUCAAUGGCAUUACAAGACAAUAACAGAAUGAAAAAUAAAAAACUGUAUCUCCAAAGGAAAAAGGGAACAAAUGAGAGAAAUUUGAAGUCUGCAUGUCAAGAUAAUGUCAAAUUUGGUCAAAAAUUCUUACGGGCUUUCAACUUUUCUCUUUGGUUAUGCUAUUCGUGUUUGCAUUGAAGUUUUUCAUAUUUUCUUUCAAAUAAUUCAUUAAUGGCUUGCUAAUCUCAAGAGUGGAUGAAAGGACUUAAUUCCAACUAAAUGAUUUAUACAAGUGCUUCUGAAACUAACCCUUAUUAAAUGAAUAACUCCUGCCAAUAAACCGUGGGUAUCUGUCUUUUAAAAAGUUGAGGGGACACCUGAGAAUUCUGCAAGAAAUAGGAAUAAUUCCUCAAAAAGAAAAUUGCCUGGCUGAACUUGGAGGAUUAAAAGUAAUUGUAAUUUCCCAAACAUUCGGUUUGCGAGUGCUGUUGUCUGUAAAAAGAUGAUAAAAUACUCAAUGCCCCCUGUCUCUUAACUUCAACAAUAGUCAAUCAGACCAGCCGUUUUACCCAACCACCGAAGAAGCUCCGUAUCAGAAAUUAACUUACAGUUCUCAGAGGCCUCGGCGAACAUAUGCACAAGGGCACUUUGAGGUUGCUCUCCACCAACUGUUGCCUGUUUGAUUUUCGUCAGUAUAUUUGAUGGCAAAUAUCAUAAUGUUUGCUCUAGGUCAUGGACAGCACAAAAAACAUUGACAAUUUGUUAUAAACUGUUGAUUAUGCAUAACAUGUUCAGAAAGGUUUUUGGCAUGGAUUAAAACAAACAGCUUGUAUGCGUGACACCUUGGCAUACUGAAUUCUGGGAGGAUAAUAUGCAUAAUGGGAGUGAAAGGUAACUAAUCUUAAGUUCACAUCUUACUAAGUCUUCAUUUAUUUAAAGGUGAGGUCAAAAACAUGUUUUAGAUACUGAUAUUGUGUAUUCUGGCAUUUGAUAUGUACUUUUAGGCAAAGCAGCAACUUAUAACACACUUACAGUCACAAAUUGCCUAAAGCAACAUGACAGUUGUCAUGUUGGUGAAAAACAACAACCUUUUUCUAACAGUAUGACAGUAGCUCAGUAAUAAGCUACUUCUUCAGCGAUGCAGCAUGACAAAAUACUGCUGCAAAUUAUCAAGGUAAAAAUAAAAUUCUGCCUUUCUC